rnacentral:lncRNA from 1 species
AAAUAAGGUAGUCUUGCAAUAUUACUAAUUAAAAAGCAAUCUAUCAACUAAUAAAUCGAACUAUGUAAAUAAGGUCUAAUCUGUCUGUAUCAUUUAUUGCAACUUCACCUCAUCUCUUUCAUCUCCCAUGUAUACUUAUUACCGUGAUAAUUUGAUGAGUUAAAAGACUCUGAAUGGAUAAACUGAUUAACACAGAUAUUAAGCUGUAGAGUAAAGACAUUUUGAUAUUCGAAAAUUAGGUCCAUAUUUGGUGAUCAGGUUUGAAAUGAUUUUUACAAAAU